GCUGACAUCGAUAUACCUUCACUGCACGUUAUAUCAGAAGCCAGAUUAUCUAAAGAUGUUUUGCCUCUCAGCUAUGAACUCAGCAUAAAUCCAAAUAUGGAAAAUAAAACUUUCAAGGGAUUUAUAAAAAUUCAUUUAAGAUGGAUGGCCGACUCAAAAAAGGUGAAUUUUCAUGCACACGAAAGAUUAUAUAUUGAUAGUAGGGAGAUUAAACUAAAAAACCUUAAAUACAAAUCUAAGACGACUUCUGAUAACUUAACUAUUUUAAGAAGUAGUCGACUACCAAGGAGUGCCAUUUUUGUUUUAUACCUUAAAGAGACAGUCAAAAAGGAUUCCGAAUGCAUACUAGAAAUUUCUUUUGAAGGAAACAUAUUAGAAGUUCCAGAAGGACUCUUUAGUGGACAAUAUAAGAGUUCUUUUAGCAAUGAGAAAGAAAUAUAUUUAGCAACAAACAUGAAGCCCAACCAUGCUCGCCGGCUUUUUCCCUGCUUCGAUGAACCUGGAAUAAAGGUUCCAUUUAAUGUGUCUAUUGCCAGACCUAGUAGAUAUA